AGCAUCCAGUCCCCUCCAGCCUGGGCAGUUGUUUCUCCAUGGACAUCUUCCUCUGCAUUUAGUCUCAGAAACUGGAACAACUUGUACUCCUUUAGUCCCACCAGCGUUGAUUGCUCUUUUCUGAAGUCUGUUCAAAGCUGUUAAUCCAAUUCUGGAACUGAGGUGUGGGGAGAAGCCCUUUUCUCGAUCAAGUUGACCGUAAGUCUGCUGCCUUGAGAUCUUAGGAGACAAAGCACAGGUAAGCACUACAUACUGUUGAGAACAUCAGAGGAGUAGCUCUGUGAAACAGCACUGUGGUUUGUGUUUAUCCUCCCUUGGUGAUAUCCACAUUAAAGCACUUCAUUUACAAGUGAUGGCAAAGUUGUUCUCUGCUGUAAACUGAGCCUGAAGGUGGGAGGCCAGUGUGCGAUGGAAAAGAUGGAGUUUCUCAGAGAGACACAUUGCCUUUGCUUUCUCACAGAACAGUCGUGAGGAGGAAAUUCUUUGGCUUGACAUUUAAGUACCAGAGACAGAAUCAGUGAUGCUGGGAAGAAUUCAGGGGUGAGAGGGAGGUAAAUUGGCUUGGAUGAAUCAAUAACAAACUUGAAUCUUUGAUCAAAACAUGCUUGCCUCCUUCCCCUCCCUGCUGCUGUCUGUGCCAGAUUUGGAUGAAGCUUGGGGAAGUUGGGGAGUUAAAAAAUCUUUUUUAGUAAGUGACUUUGCAUCUCUGCACUAUCUCCACAUAUGGGGCUAUAUUGUGCCAACCCCUAGGAUGAUGUGACAUAACAAGUGAAGAGACAAAAGAUAUCUGAACGUCAUGCAAGAGGCCACGUGCAAUUUCUCUCUUUCUUUGUGGAGUGAGCCAUACUGCAGACAGGCUUUCCAGCAGGGGAAUGGUAGAGCUCGGGUUUUGGCUGAGUCCUGUUUUCUUUUGUGCUUGCUGCAUACUAGGUUAGAAAAAAGCUGGGCUGCUGAGACUUGAGUUUCAGUGCUUUCCUUCAUCCCAUUGCUGCUGUUUCAAUACUGACCUUCCUUGCUUAGCUUACUCUGUGUCUCCCACCAUGGUUGGUUAGAGCCCAAUGCUGCUUCCCUGCCCUCUGCCAAGCCUGACUUGGCAUGACUUCUGGUCCUGCCACUUCCAGGUGGAGAUGGAGAUACCAGCAAUGUGUUGGCUCAUUCCCAUACAGUCCCUGCCAGGGAGACAAAGGCAGCCCUUAGAGCAAACAUUAUCUUUUGCAAUACGUAAAGCUGUGAUAAGUUGGGAUGGUACUCGUGAGAAAAACAGUAAUGUGCAUUGGAAGCAAAAAGGGCUGUCACCUCAGACCUCUGGCCGGCAGAGUGUCUGCUUCCUGGCAUGAGAUCACUGCUGAAUUUUGAAGACGUGUUUUUCCACACAGAUUUGAGAGCUGCUAAUGCUACAAUUUUGCAUCAUCAGUGUGGUGGAAAUUAAUUUGUGAUGUUGUAAUGGAAUUAAAACAGAGAAGAAAGUGGGUGCAACCUAGCCCAGUGUUCCAGUGGAAGCUCCCCUGGGCUUACACCUUUCUCUGAGACAAAGUUUGAAAAAUAUUUCACUGAGGUACUUUAAUGCAGAGGUGCUGGCUACAGAAUGCACCACUCCAACAUGUAAUAUGUUGUCAUGAUUUUGGUCACUCUGUACGCUGCAGUCUUUGAAGAUUACUGUCUUGUGUUAAAGGUGACAGUACUGGUUUCUGGUCCAUUCCAGCAUUGUGUGCUGCUCUGAGCCAGGAUUGCAGCCUUGCAAUGGUGUAGCUGUAGUCAGUCAUGCCUUGGGGCAGGGGGAUGGAUUAUAUACCCCUUGAAGUCUCCCUUAGAGACUUGUUUUCUGUGAUUGCAAUGCACACAUACCUUGGAGGAAUAACUAACCUGCAGUGCCAUGGCACUCACUCCACCAACCCUUCCCUUAUCGGCUCCUUUGUAAAUGCAAAGCAUUCAUCCACCUCGACUUCUCCAUAAGUGGCUGCAAAACCACUUCUCUGGGAAUAAGCGCUGCCUGUUCCCCUGGCAGCAGCAUAGCUGCAUCCCCUUCCCCAUGGUGAGGCACCCCACAGCCAGAAGGAAGAUGCACCAGAAGCAGCGUCAGCUUUUUUCUGCCACUGAGCUGAGUUGCUCCAGUCCCUCUUCCCCAUUUGCUGCCGAUGAGGUAGCAAUUAUGCUCCCAUCGAUCCCUCCUCUCCAGGAAUCACCCUGUGUGCACUGGCACACUGUCACAAUCAAUAGCCCAGCCCUUGUGCAGAGACGGCAAGGGGGCCAAAGAGGCAAUUUGCUCACUGGACAGGUUACGAUGAAAUAAUAUUGUGUCAGAAGGUGAAGUGGCAGAGCGGCUGGCACUAAAUAUUUCCCUCUGUGGCCACCGGGAAAGCUAGGGCUCCACAAGAUUUAAAGUCAGGCUCAGUAGCUGCUGCUUAGAUCCUGCUGGAGAUAAAGUGUAACUGAAAGAAAGUGGGGAAACGAUUGUUUAGGAAACAAAAUUGAUGUGGGUCCUUAAACCCAUCACUUCAAAAUUGUUCUGACUGGGAAGGGAAGGAGGAGAUAAAAUAUCUUUCAUUUUUGACCUCUAGCUGAUGGGUAUUAAACACAUACAGGUUUCAUUGUGGACAAAACUCAGGACUUCCAACAGCCGAGCUCAAUCAAUCAGCUUAUUAGUAAAACAUAAAUAUUGCAUUCAAAAAAAGGAGAUACUUGCCUUGAGAGUCACUGCUGUCAUCCUAGCUUAGAGACAUACUACAAAUUAGGCAAGCAAAGGUAUCACUUUCAGCCAAUUUUUAACAGGCAAAACAAGGGGAGUUUCAAAACUUUCUGAAAUAUUUUUAUUUUGUUUUGAGUAGUCUCUUGAUAUUGUAUCUCAAAUGAAAUGAGUAAAUAGCUUUAUGCUCAUUACUCCCUGAUUCAAAGCUCAUGUUUGACAUGUUAUAGUCAUCUCUCCCCAGUAAAGUAUAUCACAGUCUUCAGCUUUGCUGAGCAUAAGCAGAGGACACUGUGGGUGCUUCUUAGCUCAAGGGCCUUGGUGCCUGUACUACCCAUUUGCACCCACUGCCCUUCUAACAGAGAUUAAGUACUUAGAAAUACAUACAAUUACUUAGAAAUGCAAUACUGAUCUCUACCAUGGAAUCUAUGUUAAUAUAUUUAUAUUGAAUUAAAACAGAGGUUAGUGUAAGCAUGGAAGCAAGUGAUAACAAGGUAUUUAGUCAAAGGUGGGUUCACAGGAAAAGAAAGCUUAGUGUUUAGACCUGGGAAACUGCCUGAAGGCUGCUGCUGCUCCCACACACACUUUGCCACCUUAGGCACAUCAUUUAUGUCAGAUUUUUUCAGAAGUGCCCAGUUAUUUGGAGUGCCUCAUUAGUGCUAACCCAAGUGUGGAGCACCUGCAGAUGCCCUUCCAUCAGCAGGACCUAGCAAGGCUCUGCACAUCUGCUCAUCAAACCAGCCAGCAGUUAGGCAUCUUGCAGUUAUAAUGGAGGCUUUCUGCUUUCAGUGUCUCUCGGUUUCCACCUUUGUCAAAUGGAGGCAAUGCUGCAGGACAUAAACAGCGUAGUGGGAAGCCCACAGGCCAGAAUAGCCUCUACACACUACAUGGCAGCAGGGAAGCCUUGGGCAACUUGGCACUCCUAAGAAAACCUUCCAUGCCAUCAUAGGCUGCUCACCCCAGCUGCAUGGCUAAGUCCUUGUGAUUUCUCCAGUGCAAUGGUCUCAGGCCACCACAACACAGGGAUGGAUCCCAGCCCUGCCACUGAUAAGGUCCCUGUGUGUUGAAAAGCAGUCUGUGGCUGGUCUAAAUGUAGGCUGCCCACAGGGCCCCUAGAUGACUUGUGCUGGCUCUGCAGCUUCCAGAUUAAUAGUUCCUCACAGUCAUCUUGUGAAAGUGCAACAUAGAGCUGUUUGCCCUUUUGUGAAUAAAUGGGGGCAGCAAUGUUCGAGCUGGGUCUGGCAAGGUAAGGAGUAAUUCCCUGGCAAGCAGAGAGAGUCUGGCUUCACCCAGCUCUGCAGAGGGAGAGGGUGAAACAUGACCCACCCUCUCCGUGCUUUUCAGCUCCAGAUGAAUGGUGCUUAUUUGUCACCACGGAAAGGAAAACUCAGCCAUGUGCAAGCACAACAUCUGCUCAGUGGGGACUGCUGCUGCCAGCAUGCAGCACAACACCGUUUGCUGGACCCCAUGGCACUCACCCUGGGGACCUCGCAGAAGCGCUGGCUGCAGUGCAAGAAGGGUCAGGGGUGCAUGUGCCUCCUGCCAGUAGGCUCAGAACUGCUACAUCCGAGCCUAAAGUGAAGAUUACGAGGCUGCAUAGGUAUGUGAGCAGGCACUGGAAAGCUGAAGCCAGUGGGCUCUGGCAGGGCACGCCUCCUGCCUGUCCCUUUAGGUUAGGGAGUUAGAAGGAGUUGGACAGAGUGGGCUGGUAGCUGACAGGUGUUUGGCUGCUUUUCCAAGGGUUUGCUACAACAAUUUGGAUGAUGCCUCCCUCUUUCUGUGGGGUAGCUCCUACCUGGAAAUGCAUUUAAGAAGCAUUUUAAGAUUUCUUUAUUUUUGUCUUUCUGUGCAGUGCAAAUGGAUCCCUAAAUGCCAACACUUUUUUGGUACUGAUUUAUCUCUGGGUGUGACACUAAUGUUUCACCCUCUCCAAAAUACUGAGGUUAGGUUAAGCCAUAGCAUAGCCCUGCCUGGAGGCAAAGGAAUGGGUUCCUGUGCAAGGCAGGAAUGCUCUGCCCCAACUAUGGAGGAGCAUCAGCCCCCAAGAUACAGGAAUUCAGUGGGGUGCAGGUCUCCUGUGGUUGAACUGAAGGUCCCAUGCCUCUUAUCUGUAUUUGUGUAGUGAUGAGGGCUUUCCACUAGAGAGAGACAUGAGUACGCACAGAAAACCUGUUUGCUAUUUGUAUCACACAGUUCACCUGGCCAACAUGGUGCUAAAGGGAAUGGCUGGAGCUGAUCAUGAAAUGAGCUUUUUCCCCCUGAUGAAAUUUUUACUUAUCUAUUCUGACUGACAUUUGUCUUCCAGACGGGGUUUGGCAAAGAAAAUCCUCAUUUUUUUUUUUCAUUCUUGCUUUAAAAAAGCCCAUUUUUAUUCUUUUUAGUUCUUUCAGUAGAGGCCAAAAUCUGCUGAAACAUUGGAGAGUCUUGCAAAAAAACAUAAUCAAGAAACUUGACAAAAAUAUUUUUAUUAGAAAUGACAUUUUUUUAGAAAAUGUGCAGCUGCUUGCUGUUUAUCUGACAAGAAAGUGGGUAUUACCCAGGCAAAAACUGGUAACUCUCAUGUACCUUUUUGUUUCUAUAGACAAAACUCAAUUCGGUGACCUCUGAAAUACGAACAUCUUGAACAUAUGAAGGACCAUUAAAAUAUUGAACACAAUAUAUUUAAGAGCAGAAGCAAAGAGUAACCUUCUUAGCUGAAAAUCCCAGAGAGACAGAAAUGUGGCCAAGGACAGUGGUGUUAAUAUUUCUGUAUUUAUGUGUCAUUCUGUAAUCUUUGCAGGCAGUCGGGCCCAUGCUUUGCACACCAGAGGAAGCUGAUCUUCUCAGCUGUUUUUCACCAGAAGACCUGCUCAGCCAGCAGAACCAAACCUUCUUAGUGUGGUGUUGGAACAGUGCCCAUUUGGAGAUAAGGGAACUGUUGAGUGAGAUGCCUUCAGCAUGUAAUGUAUUGUUAUGUGUAUACAGUGUAGAUUUUCCUUUGUGGUUACUUGGAGCUCUGAGUGAGGAGAGUAUGUAGCACCUAAUGGUGCUUUGCCUGGGAUCUGUGCUGAGUGUACAACUCAGGGUGGCAGGGCUGUGAGUCACACAAUUUCUUCUAUUUUUGGAUCCUGUUUUUGAAUGCUUUCCCCUGUGGUAUAUGGGUGGUUGAAGGAAACACACACAUGCAGGCUUCACAUACUGCAAAUAGAAAGUCUGCGUUUAAAGGCCUCCAAUUGCUUUCUUGCAGAUCCUGCCAAGCUUCAACCUGCUAGUCUUGAUAAACACCCUCUCCUGGGGUGUUGCUCACUGGGAACAUAUGGUCCCGUGGGAAACAGAUGGGCCCAGAGCUGGGAACUUCCAGGAGCUUUUGGUGGGAGACGGGAUCCCAUCCUUUACCUCAAAGGCCCAUCCUAAAGGCACAGUGAGAGCAUUCUUCUCUGGUGUUUUUCUAAUCUCAUGAGAAGUUCCCCUUCAUUGCCAUCAGGUAUGAGUGGGUACUUGAAGCAGGGCGUUUCAAUGUCCAGGCAGUGUCCUCCUUUCUGCAGGACAUAGAAGAAAUCUGAGGAAUAAAGAGGGAAAUAGGUAAAACACAAAGACUAUGAAAUAACAGCCUUUUUCUUUGGUACCUCCCAAAUGGCUUCUUGCCCCCAGAUAUCUCCUGCACCACCCAGCAUAAGACCAUCACAGAUCUCCAUCAUGACUGGAGACUGGGGUGUAAAUCCAGGGCUUUAACAGUCUCUUGUGAGUUAACAUGGAUCUGAACAAGUCUCCUUUCAAUAUUCACUCUUCAGUACAGGCCCAGCUUUGCUCUAUCUUAUCAUCUUGGGAAACAGAUGAUGCAGGAUUUGACUGAUCCCUUCACCAUCAGCAGCCAUUCCUGGAAAUGAAUCACUGCCUCUGAGAUUGUUUCCCUGAUGCUUUUCAUAGAACAUCUGAUAUCUCAAAGAGAUGUCUUUUCCUUUUCUGUUUAUCUAACCUAGAGCUAUUAUGAUUGUAGUAGCUGCUGGGUUCAUAGCCCCAGGGGCAGAAAGCUUCAUUGCAUCCUGCUCAAGGCACCCCUCUCCUAGUUUCCUGUAGCCUUUCUGGAUGCACAUGGCCUAAACCCAAGGAGGUUGUUAAGCUCCUAGUUCCUAUUUGUUCUUAAUUUACCCUUUGAAAACUGAUCCUCAGCUAGUCUGGUUUUCUCAAAACUUGCAACCCUUUAUUAUACCAAGUUUUUGCUCCAGUUUGAAGCCCAGUCUUUCCGUGGGGAGAUAAUUCCACACAUAGGAGACUAACUGUAGAGAGGUAAUAUAGGUGGGAAUUUCUACCUCAGUCAUGUUUUAUUGUGUAUCACUUCCUCCCUCUGUAACACCCCUCUGGGCCUCCUAGCAAACCCCUUUCUCCACUUGUUUAUGGACUUUCAUUCUGUUUCAGAAAUCUGAUAAAUACAGAAGCCUUUAGACAGAAAAUGUAGACUAAAAGCUGCUCUAAACCAAUGUUUCUUCCCUCUUCUUUGUAAGCCUGGUGCACAUUAAAUGAAACUUAUAUGCUUCUUGAAA